rnacentral:rRNA from 1 species
GAUGAACGCUGGCGGCGUGCCUAAUACAUGCAAGUCGAGCGAACAGACGAGGAGCUUGCUCCUCUGACGUUAGCGGCGGACGGGUGAGUAACACGUGGAUAACCUACCUAUAAGACUGGGAUAACUUCGGGAAACCGGAGCUAAUACCGGAUAAUAUAUUGAACCGCAUGGUUCAAUAGUGAAAGACGGUUUUGCUGUCACUUAUAGAUGGAUCCGCGCCGCAUUAGCUAGUUGGUAAGGUAACGGCUUACGAAGGCGACGAUGCGUAGCCGACCUGAGAGGGUGAUCGGCCACACUGGAACUGAGACACGGUCCAGACUCCUACGGGAGGCAGCAGUAGGGAAUCUUCCGCAAUGGGCGAAAGCCUGACGGAGCAACGCCGCGUGAGUGAUGAAGGUCUUCGGAUCGUAAAACUCUGUUAUUAGGGAAGAACAAAUGUGUAAGUAACUAUGCACGUCUUGACGGUACCUAAUCAGAAAGCCACGGCUAACUACGUG